GAGUUCGCAUGUCACCUCUGACACGCGUGUCAUAGGUUCGCCAUCACUGGCAUAUAAGAAUGAAACUAGCUCCUGAGUGCUGCCAUCAUCCAUCCAAUGUCCCCUUGGCUCAGUGCUGUGCAGCCCUUCCCUUGGGAUAUCCCAUCCCCUACCCCCUCAAUUUUUCUUUAUCCACCAUCUGAGAUGGCUAUUUAGCCUGCCCGUGUGCACCACCCAUGUUAACCUUUUAGUACCCACAUAGGAUGGUCUAAAAUUAAAACUUUUUAACCAAAAACAGGUCCUGGCAGGUAGUCAUAUCCUGGGCCAGGAUCUUUCUGACCAAGAUCAAUCUUUACCUCAACUGAGUCUGUCUGCAUCUAGGAUAACAUAUGUUUGGAAUAUCAGGGUAAUUUCCUUGUUCCAGACCCCCUCAGGGCACAAUCUCCCACCAGAGCAGGGGACCACAGAACCCCUCAUUGUUAUUGUUAUAAUGUUAAUUGUUAACUAUCCUAUACCCACCUACUACAAAGAAGUAUGUGUCUAUUCAUCUUACUUUUUAUUGUCCCAGAGAUUUCUCCACUUUGCCUUCUCCUACUUUGCCUAAUCUAUCACCAAUAAAUUUCAUGUAACCCC